rnacentral:rRNA from 1 species
GUGUCAGCAGCCGCGGUAAGACGGAGGAGGCAAGCGUUGUCCGGAAUUACUGGGCGUAAAGCGCUCGUAGGCGGUCAGCUACGGCGGUGGUGAAAGCUCCCGGCUCAACUGGGAGAGGCCCGCCGCAACGGGUUGACUCGAGGGUGGUAGAGGCAGAUGGAAUUCCUGGUGUAGCGGUGAAAUGCGUAGAGAUCAGGAGGAACACCCGUGGCGAAGGCGAUCUGCUGGGCCAUGCCUGACGCUGAGGAGCGAAAGCUAGGGGAGCGAACGGGAUUAGAAACCCGCGUAGUCC